rnacentral:misc_RNA from 1 species
GAUGAAGAACGUAGUGAAAUGCGAUACGUAAUGUGAAUUGCAGAAUUCAGUGAAUCAUCGAAUCUUUGAACGCAUAUUGCGCCCCCUGGUAUUCCGGGGGGCAUGCCUGUCCGAGCGUCAUUGCUGCCCUCAAGCACGGCUUGUGUGUUGGGCCUCCGUCCUCCUCCCGGGGGACGGGCCCGAAAGGCAGCGGCGGCACCGCGUCCGGUCCUCGAGCGUAUGGGGCUUCGUCACCCGCUCUUGUAGGCCCGGCCGGCGCUUGCCGACACAUCAAUCUUUUUUCCAGGUUGACCUCGGAUCAGGUAGGGAUACCCGCUGAACUUAAGCAUAUCAAUAAGCGGAGGA